CCUCCUUCCUGCUCAGCCCAAAGGCAGGAGUCAUGGAACCCCAGGAAAGGACGGAACAGAACAGGACAGGGCCCCCAGCCCCAUCUUUAUCUCACCGGCUGCUGCUGGCUGCCAAGCCUCCCCUGAAUGGGGGAGGGUGGUCUGUGUGAGUCAGCGGAGGCACGAAGUGGAGGAAGACGGGAGCCUCUGCCAGGCCCGUUGAGCGUGGCCUCAGAAAUGCGCCGCUGGGUUAGGGUCUCCCCGACCGAGGCUCGAAUCCAGGUCGAAGGGUCGCCGGAGCGAUGGUUGGAGAAUGUGGAAGGAGCUGGAGGACACCCGAGUAUUCUUAAAGCAAUCCCCAUGGUGAGUAAGAAGGGGAGCUCGGAAGCAUCAGGGUAACAAUGGGAUUGGUUUGGGGUCUGGUUCCUUCCACCUUGGAACCUUUUCAAGCUAAUGAGGAGGGAGGAGAGUAUAACGAAGUAACAGAAGAGGUUACAGAGCAGGUUUGUUUGCCAGCUAAAGCUAAAGCGGCAAAGGAGGGAGACGUUCAUCCCUACCCUUCUGCACCCCCUACUUAUUAUUUUGAAGAAAAAGGGCGGCCUGACCCUCCAGAUCUUUCUUUUCCGGAGGAUACUGGGCGAAAAGUAGUUGCUCCAGUGACUGAGCAGCACCUCGAGCGACCUCUCUUAGUUCUAUUCAGGCAGGAAUUCAGCAAGCUAGACGAGGGGGUGAUUUAGAGGCUUGACAGUUCCCUGUUAGAAUACACCCCCCAGAUCAACAGGGAAAUAUUAUAGCUACAUUUGAGCCUUUCCCUUUUAAAUUACUCAAAGAAUUUAAACAAGAUAUUCAUACUAAAAAAGAAUGUAGAAAAUAUCAAAGAAAACUGCUGAGCCUGAAAUAUGUCCAAAAUGUAAAAAAGGAAAACAUUGGGCUAAUCAGUGUCACUCUAAGUUUGAUAAAGCUGGAAACCCAAUUUCGGGAAAUGCCAUGAGGUGCCCGUCCCGGGCCCGGUUCUAAAUCAGGGCAUUUCCAGCUGAGGCCCUUCCCUCACCCCCGUACAAUGUCUGUCCCCCGCCGCAGCCGGUAGUGCCGCAGUAGAUUGAUGCUGCACGAAAGCCGUGAGCUUUCUGCCAGGGGAACACCCGCGAAAGGUCUCAACAGGAGUCUGUGGACCCGUGCCAGCGGGGCAAUAGGAUUACUUUUAGGAAGGUCUAGUUUAAGUUUAAAAGGGGACAAAUACAUACAGGAGUCAUUGAUUCGGAUCACGAUGGGGAAAUUCAAACUGUUAUAUCUACUUCUGUUCCCUGGAAAGCAGAGCCAGGAGAAUGUGUAUCACAGCUCCUGAUUGUGCCGUAUGUGGGAAUGGGGAAAAGUGGAACUAAAGGAACAGGAGGAUUUGGAAGCACAAAUAAACAAGGCAAAGUGGCUUAUUGGGUCAAUCAAAUUGCUGAUAAACGUCCUACCUGUGAAAUAACUAUUCAGGGAAAGAAAUGUAAAGGUUUGGUAGAUACAGGAGCAGACAUUUCAAUCAUUUCUCUACAGCACUGGCCAUCCGCAUGGCCAAGUCAACCCGCUCAAUUUAACAUAGUUGGAGUUGGUAAAGCCCCUGAAGUAUAUCAAAGUAGUUAUAUUUUGCAUUGUGAGGGGCCCGAUGGACAACCUGGGAAUAUUCAACCAAUUAUAACUUCUGUGCCUAUAAAUUUAUGGAGAAGAGAUUUAUUACAACAAUGGGGAGCACAAGUUCUAACUCCAGAACAAUUAUAUAGCCCUCAAAGUCAACAUAUCAUGCAUGAAAUGGGGCAUGUCCCUGGUAGGUGACUAGAAAAAAAAUUUGCAAGGUUUGAAAGAACCACUUCAAUUGGAAAGACAAGUUCCCGCCAAGGCUUAGGAUAUCAUUUUUGAUGGUGGCCACUGUUAAGCCUCCAGAACCUACACCUUUAAAACGGUUAACAGAAAAGCCAAUUUGGAUAGAAAAAUGGCCGCUAAGUAAAUAGAAACUGGAGGCUUUAGAGAAAUUAGUUACUGAACAAUUAGAAAAUGGGCACAUAGCGCCAACAUUUUCCCCUUGGAAUUCUCCAGUUUUCAUAAUUUAAAAAAAAAUCAGGUAAAUAGAAAAUGUUAACCGACUUAAGAGCCAUUAAUUCAGUUACACAACCUAUGGGAGCAUUACAGCCAGGAUUGCCUUCUCCUGCUAUAAUUCCAAAAAGUUGGCCUUUAAUAGUCAUAGAUUUAAAAGACUGUUUCUUUACUAUCCCCUUAGCUAAGCAAGACUGUGAAUGGUUUGCAUUUACCAUUCCUGCAGUCAACAACCUGCAGCCUGCUAAGUGUUUUCAUUGUUUUACAGAUGGGUUUAGUAAUGGUAAAGCUUCUUAUUCUGGCUCAAAAAGUAGUUUUCCAGAUGCCUUAUAAAAAGCAAAGUUUGUAGCUGUAAUUGAGGUAUUGACUGCUUUUGAUAGCCUAUUAAUGUGAUUUCUGAUUCUUCAUAUGUGGUUCAUUCCACACAGUUAAUUAAAAAUGCUCAGUUACUAUUUCAUACAGAUAAACAACUGAUGACAAAAACAAAAAAGGGGGAGAGAUAGGGAUUAUGGGACAGUCCAUACACAAUUGAAUCUAGCAUUAUUAACUUUAGAUUUUUUGAACCUGCCCAAAGGCCAGAUGUCAUCAGCAGCUGAACAGCAUUCCAGAAACCAGCUGCAAAGACAGAAGCAGAACAACUGGUUUGGUGGAGAGAUCUGAUAACAAAAAGUUGGGAAACAGGUAAAAUAAUAACUUGGGGUAGAAGUUAUGCUUGUGUUUCUCCAGGCCAAAAUCAACAGCUGAUCUGGAUACCAUCAAGACACCUGAAAUCUUAUCAUGAGCCAGAUGCUGAGGAAGAGACUCCGGGAGGAUCCCGAGGACGGCCCAGUUGCAGCCAUGUUGAGACUGACGCUGAGGAGGACCCCAACUGUCACGAGCAACACCUGUCGAACACAGCCACCCACCUGGGGACAGAUCAAGAAGCUGUCACAGAUGGCAGAAGAAAACCUGAGGAAAGCGGGACAACCAGUCACAAUGAGUAAUUUCAUGGUAGCUAUGAUAGCAGUUAUCACCACUGCUGUGAGUAUUCCUUCAACAAGGGCUGACACACAGAACAAUUAUACUUAUUGGGCAUAUUUAUCAACCUUGGCUGGCAAUAAUGCCUAGAUGUAAUCACUCUAUGACACAGUUACACAUGCUUUCUGAUCUCAGUAUUUACCAUAAUCUGCUCCUAUAAUUGAGGCAUACCGCCCUUAAAAACCUAUUUGUAAACAAAAUUGAACCUGGCCAGAAAAAAUGAACGUACUUGUUUAGGAAGAUUGCAUUGCAGAACAGGCAGAGGUGCUGCGCAACGAUUCCUAUGGAAUCACUGUUAAUUGGUCCCCUAAGGGGAUGUUUAGCUUAAAUUGCACCUCUCAGCCUGCGUGCCACGGCCACACUAUGUGCAGCUGGUCUGAACAAAACGGUCAGAUGGUAGAAACAAUAAGAAGUAUGGCAAAAGUUCCUAUUAUCUGGAACCAUGCUGGUAUAGUGGCACCUCAACCUCAAACGAUAAGGCCCGCUGUAGGAGCUAAACAUUAAGGAUUUGUAGAAACUAUUAAUAGCUCUUAAUAAGAUCAAAAUUGGGGAAAGAAUAAAGCAUCUAGAAGGACACUCUACAAGCUUUUUGGAUACAGUAAAAUUAAAAGAAAAAAUAUUUAAAGCAUCCCAGGCACACCUGACCUUAAUACCAGCAACUGGAGUGCUUAAAGGAACUGCAGACAGAUUUGCAGCUAGUAACCCAUUAAAAUGGAUAAAAAUACUUGGAAGCUCUGUAAUUUCAAUGAUGUGAUUGUGCUUUUAAUCUGUGUUGUUUGUCUUUGUAUAGUCUGCAGAUGUGGAUCCUAACUCCUGCGAGAAGUAACUCACAGUGACAAAGCUGCCUUUGCUUUUAUCGAGUUGCAAAUCAAAGAAGGGGGGACAUGUUGGGAACAGGCCCCCCAAGAUCUGGCCAUAAACUGGCCCCAAAACUGGCUAUAAACAAAAUCUGCAGCACUGUGACACGUUCAUGAUGGCCGUGACGCCCACGCUGGAAGGUUGUGGGUUUACCGGAAUGAGGGCAAGGGACACCUGGCCCACCCAGGGCGGAAAACCGCUUAAAGGCGUUCUUAAACCACAAACAAUAGCCUGAGUGAUCUGUGCCUUAAAGACACACUCCUGCUGCAGAUAACUAACCAGACCCACCACUUUACUUCGGCCCAUCCCUUCAUUUCCCAUAAGGGAUACUUUUAGUUAAUCUAUUAUCUAUAGAAACAAUGCUAAUGACUGACUUACUAUUAAUAAAUAUGUGGGUAAACCUCUGUUGGGGCUCUCAGCUCUGAAGGCUGUCAGACCCCUGAUUUCCCACUUCGCACCUCUGAAUUUCUGUGUGUGUGUCUUUAAUUCCUCUAGCGCCCCUGGUUUAAGAUCUCCCUGACCGAGCUGGUCUCAGCAAGCAGAGGGUGCCCCUGCACCAGGAAAGGGGGGCACAGGAAGGCCCUGCAAGUGCAGCUGCAGCCAACAGGAACAGCAGGACACCUUCCAGAGGACAGGACAUCGAUGUCAUCUGUAACUUCCAGUGCACUGGGACACACAGCUGUAUCUCCCCAUGCUCGCCUCCUGCCCCUCCCGGUGUGAGGACUUAGCCUGGAUCACCUCCUCCAGGACAAGAACGACCUACCGGCAUCUAUCCAUCCAAUCUCCCCACCCAUCCAUCACUGCCUCUGUGCAUGCAUCCUUCCAACCAUUCAUACACGCCUCUGUGCAUGCAUCUGUCUGUCUGUCCCUGCCUCUGUGCCUGCAUCUGUCCAUCCAUCCCUGCCUCUGUGCCAGUAUCUGUCCAUCUAUCCCUGCCUCUGUGUAUGCAUCUGUCUGUCCAUCCAUCCCUGCCUCUGUGCCUGCAUCUGUCCCUCCGUCCAUCCCUGCCUCUGUGCAUGCAUCCUUCUGUACAUCCCUGCCUCUGUGCAUUCAUCUGUCUGUCCAUCCCUGCCUCUGUGCAUGCAUCUAUCCAUCCAUUCAUCCUUGCCUCUGCCCAUGCAUCCGUCCAUACAUCCCUGCCUCUGUGCAUGCAUCUGUCCAUCCAUCCAUCCCUGCCCCUGUGCAUCCAUCUAUCCAUUCAUCCCUGCCUCUGUGUAGGCACCUGUCCAUCCAUCCCUACCUGUUUGCACUCAUCUGUCUCUCCAUUCCUGCCUCUGUGCAUGCAUCUGUCCAUCCAUCCAUCCCUGCCUCUGUGCAUGCAUCUGUCCAUCUAUCCAUCCCUCUCUCUGUGCAUGCCUCUGUCCAUCUAUCCAUCCCUGCCUCUGUGCAUGCAUCUGUCAUGCUAUCCAACCCUGCCUCUGUGCAUGCAUCUGUCAGUCUAUCCAUCCUCCAUCCCUUUCUUUGUAUCAGCUUAUCCUGUGCUGAGUGCUCACAACUCCUUCAUCCUAAGACGCUCAUUGGACCUAUUCCCUCCCCCGACUCCACGCCGCUCUCUGCCCUCCCUUCCUGGUCAAGUUCUCCAGCCAGUGGUCUCAACUCAAUCUUCUCUUCCUCCGCUCCUCUCAUGCCUAAGCCCACUGCCGCCUAAAUUCUUCCC
rnacentral:lncRNA from 1 species